UGCAUUCACUACUGUAAGUCGCUCUGCAUAAGAGCAUCUGCUAAAUGACAAAAC
rfam:Salmo salar isolate Sally breed double haploid chromosome ssa11, whole genome shotgun sequence.